GUACUUACUCCUACGGGAGGCAGCAGUGGGGAAUUUUGGACAAUGGGGGCAACCCUGAUCCAGCCAUACCGCGUGGGUGAAGAAGGCCUUCGGGUUGUAAAGCCCUUUUGUUGGGAAAGAAAUCCAGCUGGCUAAUACCCGGUUGGGAUGACGGUAACCAAAGAAUAAGCACCGGCUAACUUCGUGCCAGCAGCCGCGGUAAUACGAAGGGUGCAAGCGUUACUCGGAAUUACUGGGCGUAAAGCGUGCGUAGGUGGUCGUUUAAGUCCGUUGUGAAAGCCCUGGGCUCAACCUGGGAACUGCAGUGGAUACUGGGCGACUAGAGUGUGGUAGAGGGUAGCGGAAUUCCUGGUGUAGCAGUGAAAUGCGUAGAGAUCAGGAGGAACAUCCAUGGCGAAGGCAGCUACCUGGACCAACACUGACACUGAGGCACGAAAGCGUGGGGAGCAAACAGGAUUAGAAACCCUGGUAGUCCAGGCAU
rnacentral:rRNA from 1 species